rnacentral:rRNA from 1 species
UAAGCAGAUAGUGAAAGCGUGCGGCUCAACCGCAUAUCCGCUAUCUGAACUGCUAAGCUUGAGCACGAGAGAGGUAACUGGAAUUCCCGGUGUAGGAGUGAAAUCCGUAGAUAUCGGGAGGAACACCGAUGGCGUAGGCAGGUUACUGGCUCGUUGCUGACACUAAGGCACGAAAGCGUGGGAGCGAACGGGAUUAGAUACCCCGGUAGUCCACGCCGUAAACGAUGGAUGCUA